rnacentral:rRNA from 1 species
AUGGAGACGCAGCAGCAGCAGCGCCGGCACCAGCUCCGGACGCCCAUGGACCCGCUCGUCUCCCUCGCCGCGAGCCUCCUCUCGGCCUUCUCCCCGUCGCCGUCGUCGACCACCGAGCGGGGCGCCACCACCUCCACGAUACUCCUCCUGCCGCUCCCGGUGGCCGCAGCGCGCGCGCUGUCCGUGCUCCGCAGGCUCGCGCUGCUCGCCACGCAGGCCUUCAUCUCCCUCUUCUUCGCGUUCCUCUCCGCGCUCUCGCCCCCGCCCCCGCCGCCGCCCCCCUCGCUCGCGCCCUCGCUGCCGCCGCCGCUGCGCGGGGACCGCGCGGGCGCGGGGGGCACCGCCGCGGCGCCGUCCACCUGCGUGGAGCGCGCGCUGGGGCACGUGCUCUGGGUGGCGUCCCGGCUCCCCGUGGCCUCCCGCAAGUACGAGCUCGUGCGCGGGCUCGCCGAGCGGCUGCUCGACGAGAACAACGUGGGCGCGCGGGUCGCCGCCGUGACCCGCGCCGCGCUGGCCGGGGCGUUCGAGCGCACGCUGCGGCAGCUGGAGGCGUCGGCGGGCGGCGAGUGGGGGCCGCCCGGGAUGGAGCUGGCCGUGCGCGCGGUCAGGUCGGGGGUGCGGUGGUGGAGGCCCACCGUGGCCGCGCUGGAAGGCAACGACGCGUUCGGCGGCCCCGCGGCCGAGAAGCUCGCCGCCGAGCUGCUGUGGCUCGGGCAGAAGAUGGCCGAGUGCGGCGCCGCACGCGAGGCCACCGUGCAGUUCGGCGCCGCGUCGCGCCUCGGCAGCCGCGCGCUCGUCGCCGAGCCCACGCUCCAGGUCGCGCUGCUCCGGCUGGCUGUGUUCCUGUUCAGGCACGCCAACUCGGCGGAGUUCGAGCAGGAGGAGGGCAAGGCGGCCGUGGCGGAGCAGCGGAUGGCGAUGCUGCGGUCGUGGCUGCCGCUGCUCUGCCGCGGCAGCAACGGGACGGACGCGCCGGUGCUGAGCGGCAGGGAGAGGGCGGAGAUGGUGACGGUGCUGGAGGAGCUGAUCGAGAAGCUGCGGUGGGAGCAGCAGGAGGAGGCCCUGGCGCUGUGGCUGCACCACUUCGCCGCCUGCCCGGACACCGACUGGCCCAACCUUGAGCGCUGCUACACGCGAUGGUACGCCGAGUCGCGCAAGCUCCUCGCUUGA